rnacentral:rRNA from 1 species
UACGUAGGGCGCAAGCGUUGUCCGGAAUUAUUGGGCGUAAAGAGCUCGUAGGCGGUUUGUCGCGUCGUCCGUGAAAACUUGGGGCUCAACCCCAAGCUUGCGGGCGAUACGGGCAGACUUGAGUACUGCAGGGGAGACUGGAAUUCCUGGUGUAGCGGUGAAAUGCGCAGAUAUCAGGAGGAACACCGGUGGCGAAGGCGGGUCUCUGGGCAGUAACUGACGCUGAGGAGCGAAAGCGUGGGUAGCGAACAGG